rnacentral:rRNA from 1 species
CCUUGUCAUUAGUUGCUACGAAAGGGCACUCUAAUGAGACUGCCGGUGACAAACCGGAGGAAGGUGGGGAUGACGUCAAGUCCUCAUGGCCCUUAUGGGUAGGGCUUCACACGUCAUACAAUGGUACAUACAGAGCGCCGCCAACCCGCGAGGGGGAGCUAAUCGCAGAAAGUGUAUCGUAGUCCGGAUUGUAGUCUGCAACUCGACUGCAUGAAGUUGGAAUCGCUAGUAAUCGCGGAUCAGCAUGUCGCGGUGAAUACGUUCCCGGGUCUUGCACACACCGCCCGU